UACGUAGGGUGCGAGCGUUGUCCGGAAUUAUUGGGCGUAAAGAGCUCGUAGGCGGUCUGUCGCGUCGGUCGUGAAAACUUGGGGCUUAACCCUGAGCUUGCGGUCAAUACGGGCAUGACUGGAGUUCGGCAGGGGAGACUGGAAUUCCUGGUGUAGCGGUGAAAUGCGCAGAUAUCAGGAGGAACACCGGUGGCGAAGGCGGGUCUCUGGGCCGAUACUGACGCUGAGGAGCGAAAGCGUGGGGAGCGAACAGG
rnacentral:rRNA from 1 species